rnacentral:lncRNA from 1 species
UAUUAUUAAUCUUUUAAUCUUUCUCAAAUAUUUCAAAAAUAUUCAAAUUUCGAAGUUAGAAGUAAUCAAAUGAUAUCACCGAGUUACUAAUGGAAAAAAAAAAUAUUCUUUUUUUUUUUCAAAAUUAUGUAUCCUUUAACAGAUUAAUUACGAGUCUCAUUCGAAUUUGAUUGAAAAUGAAAAUUGGGCAUACUCUCUCUUCGAGCUUGACCAAUUACCAAUUAAUAGAAAAAAAUUCAAGUUUGUUUUUUAUUAGGUAAAUAAAAUGGUUUUUUUACAUUUUUUUGUUUUGAUGUAUUUUUCGUGUAUAAAUGGAGAUGUAUAAAUUAUAAAUGUAGGACGACAAAAAAAAUAGGCAGAGAUAGAGAAGGAAAGACUCUUUUUUACGUUUUUUUGAUUUCAUCAAUUCAAUUUAUAUAUCAUAAUAGAUCCUAAUCUAUCCUAUAU